AAUACAAUGACUUGAUAUUUGUUAUAUAGUUUACACAAUGACAAGUUAUAGUUCUGGUUAACAUUUUGUUCUAGUACAAUGUAAUUUUAAUCUGUUAGGGGACUAUGUAUUGCCAGGAAAUGCUCACAGAAUGCUUGUUAUUAUCCUAUUGAUAACAUGCACAAAAUAUAUCAUGUUUCUAUACUAACAACAUUAAAUCUUUUGAUAUGUUAUGCAUGUUUUAGGUAUUGAAUGUAAAAAUAAAAUCAAAAAAUUGCAGGACUUGUGAUGUUGCCAAAAGAAAAGGUAUAGUUCCAAAAGAGCACAAAUGCAGCAAAAACCAUACAGGCUCAUCUAAAGGCAUGGAGCCAGCUUUAGUGGUUGAUAUGAUAAAAGAUGUAAUAAAUAAGGGUGUCGAUAUUAAAGAAAUUGCUGGUGAUGAUGACACUACAGGUUUUCAAAGAGCACAAAACGUUCUUAAAAUAAAACUUAAGAAAAGAUCGGACAAAAACCAUAUCAAGAAAAACAUAUCAAAACAGUUAUAUGCAAUAAAAAAGAAUUACAAAGAAUUGUCACAAAGGGUCAUCAAUUACAUCAUGCAGAAUUUUUCAUACAUGGUUGCGCAAAAUAAAAAAAACACAGAAGGUGUAACAACUGGCUUGAAAGCAAUGGUAGGACAUAUUUUUGGUGACCAUAGCUUCUGUAAUACCAAGUGGUGUGUCUUCCUUGAACACCCUUUGGCAAAAUUUAGUAAGUGACCAUACGGCAAACCACUUCAAAAUCCAGAGCUGAGGAAGGAACUGGAUAGAAUUUUUAUUAAAAAAUUAUCAAUUCAAGCAGAAAAACUUGCAAAUCUUGCUAGCACUCAAACAAAUGAAAAUCUCAACCAAAUGUUAGCAACAAAAGCACCUAAAUAUAAACAUUAUUCUGCAUCUAACAGUCUGAGUUACAGGUUUAGUGCAACAGUGGCACAGAAAAAUGAAGGCCACAGAUAUGUGCAUGAGGUUCAUGAAUCAAUGGGGCUCUCAUCAGGCAAUUUUACCAUAAAGCGUGCUACCUUCAUGGAUAAGAUCAGAAGAAAGUACAGUAAAUUACAGAAGACGAGGAAAUAUAAAAGGAGAAGAAUUGAGCUAAAGUCGGAGAAAUGUAACAGCAAUGGUAUAGCAGAAGUUCUAGAGGGAACAACUUAUGAAACCAAUAUUGACAUUGAGGAUGAUAUAACUGACCAACUAGAAGAAAUUCCAACUUGGAAACAGAUAACAGCUGAGGAAAACUUUCCAAUUAUAGUAUUUGAUCUUGAAACUACAG